rnacentral:rRNA from 1 species
UGCCAGCAGCCGCGGUAAUACGGAGGGGGUUAGCGUUGUUCGGAAUUACUGGGCGUAAAGCGCACGUAGGCGGAUCAGAAAGUAUGGGGUGAAAUCCCGGGGCUCAACCUCGGAACUGCAUUUGAAACUGGAAGUCUGGAGUUCAGGAGAGGUUAGCGGAAUACCGAGUGUAGAGGUGAAAUUCGUAGAUAUUCGGUGGAACACCAGUGGCGAAGGCGGCUAACUGGCUCGGUACUGACGCUGAGAUGCGAAAGCGUGGGGAGCAAACAGGAUUAGAUA